rnacentral:rRNA from 1 species
AGCAGCCGCGGUAAUUCCAGCUCCAAUAGCGUAUAUUAAAGUUGUUGCAGUUAAAAAGCUCGUAGUUGAAUUUCGGGAUCAAUAUGUUGGUCGUGCCUUGGUACGUACUGGCAUUAUCGAUUCCUACCUUCUGAAGAACCUCGAUGUCAUUAAUUUGGUGUCUUGGGGAAUCAGGACUGUUACUUUGAAAAAAUUAGAGUGUUUAAAGCAGGCUCGCGCUUGAAUACAUUGGCAUGGAAUAAUGAAAUAGGACGUUUGAUUCUAUUUUGUUGGUUUCUAGGAUCGACGUAAUGAUUAAUAGGGAUAGUUGGGGGCAUUAGUAUUCAAUUGUCAGAGGUGAAAUUCUUGGAUUUAUUGAAGACUAACUACUGCGAAAGCAUUUGCCAAGGAUGUUUUCAUUAAUCAAGAACGAAAUUAGGGGAUCGAAGACGAUCAGGUACCGUCGUAGUCUUAACCAUAAACUAUGCCGACUAGGGAUCGGAUGAUGUUAAUUUUUUAAUGACUCA